rnacentral:rRNA from 1 species
GACGUAGGGUGCGAGCGUUGUCCGGAUUUAUUGGGCGUAAAGAGCUCGUAGGCGGCUCGUCGCGUCGACCGUGAAAACCCGCGGCUUAACUGCGGGCUUGCGGUUGAUACGGGCGGGCUAGAGUUCGGUAGGGGAGACUGGAAUUCCUGGUGUAGCGGUGAAAUGCGCAGAUAUCAGGAGGAACACCUGCGGCGAAGGCGGGUUGCUGGGCCGACACUGACGCUGAUGCGCGAAAGCCAGGGGAGCGAACGGG